rnacentral:rRNA from 1 species
CAAUAGCGUAUAUUAAAGUUGUUGCGGUUAAAAAGCUCGUAGUUGGAUUUCUGCUGAGGACGACUGGUCCGCCCCCUGGGUGAGUAUCUGGUUCGGCCUGGGCAUCUUCUUGGGGAACGUAUCUGCACUUGAUUGUGUGGUGCGGUAUCCAGGACUUUACUUUGAGGAAAUUAGAGUGUUUCAAGCAGGCACACGCCUUGAAUACAUUAGCAUGGAAUAAUGGAAUAGGACUUUGGUUCUAUUUUGUUGGUUUCUUGAACCGAAGUAAUGAUUAAGAGGGACAGUUGGGGGCAUUCGUAUUUCGUUGUCAGAGGUGAAAUUCUUGGAUUUACGAAAGACGAACAACUGCGAAAGCAUUUGCCAAGAAUGUUUUCAUUGAUCAAGAACGAAAGUUAGGGGAUCGAAGACGAUUAGAUACC